CCUAUAAUUAUGGUAAUUAUGGUAAUUUUAUUCACUUUAUUGUUACAAUAAUAAUUUCGAAAUUUAGUUGUGCAGUGACAUAUGAAACAAAAUCAAGAUAAAUCCCAUAUUUCAAUAUAGUAAUAAUACAAGAAGUAUGUGCAUCAUGAAAUUUGAAUAAAGUUCAAGUGUCCCGCUAGAUUUGUACUAUUCUCUAAUGACGUCACAUAAUUCGUUAAAAAUGAUCGGUCUAUCGAUGCCUCUUUUUAAUUUUGCUUUUAAAUUAAUUCGUUAACGAAUUUGGAAGUGCAAAUUUAUUUUAAAGAGAAUCUUUACCUACUCUUUGAUUCGUGCCGUGAAUGAAUCAUCAAAAUCAUUGUCAAGUUUUGCAUUGUGUUGCAACAAUUCUGCUGCUUUGCAGAGGCGUUGCACGUGUUGCUGUGUAACAAGCUCGUUUCUCGAUAAAUUUUCCGACAAGAGUUUACAGACGACCCUUUGCACAACGUAUUGCGUUACUCAGAUUACAUGUGGACCUGAUAAAUAAACCAUACAUUGCUCACCAUCCUUGAAAACCCUUUUCAUCUACGAAUUUAGCAAAGGCAUGACUCGACUACUUUGAUAUCUCAAACAAUGUGGAACAUUGCAGACUAGGAUUGACGUUAAUACCAUGAUUUCCCGUCAAAGCAUCUCUCUGACUAAAUCGUCUAUCUGCAGCUUCGUGGUUGUUUGAAUCCUUUAUAUUCUAUAUUGAUUGACAAUGAUUGAACGUAAACGUACUAUUAACUAUUAUUAUUAUAGAGAAAUUCGCGAAGAGCCAUAGCGAUCCAAACUUUUCGUAUCUUUUAUCUCGUAUUCGGAGCAGACUUUCGGAUAGAAAUUUCUCAGCAAGCGAACGGAAAGAGAAAUGAAGAGGAGACCUCGAUCUUUAGAACUUCGAAUCGUUUCUCGAGAAGAAACGAGGCGAGAACUCGAUAAUCUCGAGAAAAAAAAGGAUGUUGAUUGCUAUAAUGAUCGAAUUCCGAUUAUUUUCAGCGGAACUGGCAUUGUGAAACUCGGGAUAUCCGCUUUAAAGAGUCGCUCGUUUAAAAGACGAUAAAAAGACGAAAUUUCCAAGUUUCGUCGAAAGAUUAGAGAACGAUUAUUCAUGGGAUAUUAUAUCGAUUCUAUAAAUGAUACGUAUAUUUUCCAACAGAUUUAAUUACGAUAUACUCCAUAUUUCUCGUCGCUUGAUAUUCAGAAAUAAAUUUCGAAUAUUUAAUGUCAAAGAAGAACAGAUUGUGUUCUGUGAUCUGAUAUGCCUUUUAGAAAGAAAGAAAAAUUCGCAGAAUUCAGCAGAGAAUUUCCUCGUAUCAUCAUGUUAGUUGGCACGACACUGAACAAGCAAGCAUUCUAAGAGAAUUGUCGGUGGAAUGGAAAAGGACUAUUCAUUCGUGAAAAUUUCGUAUCGAGACACGAUCGAAGCAAGCGAUCGAUAAUCGACGAGAAUUCGAGGAGGAAACAGGUGAAUUUCCAUGGUAGGCCUUCUACUGUCACUUUGUCGCGAUCGAGCCGAUCUUCGACCUCAUUAAGGAUCACAUCCGACCGUAUUAUCGUUGGUGAUGCAUAAAUGAAGUGUACAUUAAGGUGAACGAGAAGGUAUCGAGCAAGGGUUCUAUCUUUGAAUAAGAAAUAAGCGAUAUAUCGAUCGAUUUAUUUAUGUUAUGCUCGAAUAACACCAAAAACAAAUAAUUUGAUUCUUUCUUCUUUUUAUUUGAACUAAUUAUUUGGAGGAUAAUCGAAUUAAAAUAAUUGAUAAAUCGUUAAA